rnacentral:pre_miRNA from 1 species
UUACUACUCCCUCCGUCCCAAAAUUCUUGUCUUACAUUUGUCUAGAAACGGAUGUAUCUAACACUAAAACGUAACUAGAUACAUCCGUAUUUAGACAAAUCUAAGACAAGAAUUUUGGGACGGAGGGAGUACUUA